AUGUACCACGCGGACACUGCGGUGGUGAGCGCGCCGUCCGCGCCCACCCGACGGCUGCGCGCUACGUUUGUUAGCC
rnacentral:sRNA from 4 species